GGUGAAAAGCACCCCGGAAGGGGAGUGAAAUAGAACCUGAAACCGUGUGCUUACAAGUAGUCAGAGCCCGUUAAUGGGUGAUGGCGUGCCUUUUGUAGAAUGAACCGGCGAGUUACGAUUUGAUGCAAGGUUAAGCAGUAAAUGUGGAGCCGUAGCGAAAGCGAGUCUGAAUAGGGCGUUUAGUAUUUGGUCGUAGACCCGAAACCAGGUGAUCUACCCUUGGUCAGGUUGAAGUUCAGGUAACACUGAAUGGAGGACCGAACCGACUUACGUUGAAAAGUGAGCGGAUGAACUGAGGGUAGCGGAGAAAUUCCAAUCGAACCUGGAGAUAGCUGGUUCUCUCCGAAAUAGCUUUAGGGCUAGCCUCAAGUGAUGAUUAUUGGAGGUAGAGCACUGUUUGGACGAGGGGCCCCUCUCGGGUUACCGAAUUCAGACAAACUCCGAAUGCCAAUUAAUUUAACUUGGGAGUCAGAACAUGGGUGAUAAGGUCCGUGUUCGAAAGGGAAACAGCCCAGACCACCAGCUAAGGUCCCAAAAUAUAUGUUAAGUGGAAAAGGAUGUGGCGUUGCCCAGACAACUAGGAUGUUGGCUUAGAAGCAGCCAUCAUUUAAAGAGUGCGUAAUAGCUCACUAGUCGAGUGACACUGCGCCGAAAAUGUACCGGGGCUAAACAUAUUACCGAAGCUGUGGAUUGUCCUUUGGACAAUGGUAGGAGAGCGUUCUAAGGGCGUUGAAGCAUGAUCGUAAGGACAUGUGGAGCGCUUAGAAGUGAGAAUGCCGGUGUGAGUAGCGAAAGACGGGUGAGAAUCCCGUCCACCGAUUGACUAAGGUUUCCAGAGGAAGGCUCGUCCGCUCUGGGUUAGUCGGGUCCUAAGCUGAGGCCGACAGGCGUAGGCGAUGGAUAACAGGUUGAUAUUCCUGUACCACCUAUAAUCGUUUUAAUCGAUGGGGGGACGCAGUAGGAUAGGCGAAGCGUGCGAUUGGAUUGCACGUCUAAGCAGUAAGGCUGAGUAUUAGGCAAAUCCGGUACUCAUUAAGGCUGAGCUGUGAUGGGGAGAAGACAUUGUGUCUUCGAGUCGUUGAUUUCACACUGCCGAGAAAAGCCUCUAGAUAGAAAAUAGGUGCCCGUACCGCAAACCGACACAGGUAGUCAAGAUGAGAAUUCUAAGGUGAGCGAGCGAACUCUCGUUAAGGAACUCGGCAAAAUGACCCCGUAACUUCGGGAGAAGGGGUGCUCUUUAGGGUUAACGCCCAGAAGAGCCGCAGUGAAUAGGCCCAAGCGACUGUUUAUCAAAAACACAGGUCUCUGCUAAACCGUAAGGUGAUGUAUAGGGGCUGACGCCUGCCCGGUGCUGGAAGGUUAAGAGGAGUGGUUAGCUUCUGCGAAGCUACGAAUCGAAGCCCCAGUAAACGGCGGCCGUAACUAUAACGGUCCUAAGGUAGCGAAAUUCCUUGUCGGGUAAGUUCCGACCCGCACGAAAGGCGUAACGAUUUGGGCACUGUCUCAACGAGAGACUCGGUGAAAUCAUAGUACCUGUGAAGAUGCAGGUUACCCGCGACAGGACGGAAAGACCCCGUGGAGCUUUACUGUAGCCUGAUAUUGAAAUUCGGCACAGCUUGUACAGGAUAGGUAGGAGCCUUUGAAACGUGAGCGCUAGCUUACGUGGAGGCGCUGGUGGGAUACUACCCUAGCUGUGUUGGCUUUCUAACCCGCACCACUUAUCGUGGUGGGAGACAGUGUCAGGCGGGCAGUUUGACUGGGGCGGUCGCCUCCUAAAAGGUAACGGAGGCGCUCAAAGGUUCCCUCAGAAUGGUUGGAAAUCAUUCAUAGAGUGUAAAGGCAUAAGGGAGCUUGACUGCGAGACCUACAAGUCGAGCAGGGUCGAAAGACGGACUUAGUGAUCCGGUGGUUCCGCAUGGAAGGGCCAUCGCUCAACGGAUAAAAGCUACCCCGGGGAUAACAGGCUUAUCUCCCCCAAGAGUUCACAUCGACGGGGAGGUUUGGCACCUCGAUGUCGGCUCAUCGCAUCCUGGGGCUGUAGUCGGUCCCAAGGGUUGGGCUGUUCGCCCAUUAAAGCGGUACGCGAGCUGGGUUCAGAACGUCGUGAGACAGUUCGGUCCCUAUCCGUCGUGGGCGUAGGAAAUUUGAGAGGAGCUGUCCUUAGUACGAGAGGACCGGGAUGGACAUACCUCUGGUGUACCAGUUGUCGUGCCAACGGCAUAGCUGGGUAGCUAUGUGUGGACGGGAUAAGUGCUGAAAGC
rnacentral:rRNA from 1 species